AUUGAACGCUGGCGGCAGGCUUAACACAUGCAAGUCGAGCGGGGUGAUGGUGCUUGCACUAUCACUUAGCGGCGGACGGGUGAGUAAUGCUUAGGAAUCUGCCUAUUAGUGGGGGACAACAUCUCGAAAGGGAUGCUAAUACCGCAUACGUCCUACGGGAGAAAGCAGGGGAUCACUUGUGACCUUGCGCUAAUAGAUGAGCCUAAGUCGGAUUAGCUAGUUGGUGGGGUAAAGGCCUACCAAGGCGACGAUCUGUAGCGGGUCUGAGAGGAUGAUCCGCCACACUGGGACUGAGACACGGCCCAGACUCCUACGGGAGGCAGCAGUGGGGAAUAUUGGACAAUGGGGGGAACCCUGAUCCAGCCAUGCCGCGUGUGUGAAGAAGGCCUUAUGGUUGUAAAGCACUUUAAGCGAGGAGGAGGCUCUUUUGGUUAAUACCCGAGAUGAGUGGACGUUACUCGCAGAAUAAGCACCGGCUAACUCUGUGCCAGCCGCCGCGGUAA
rnacentral:rRNA from 1 species